CUUAUUUUCCAUAUUCGUAACCAGAUAGUCACUUCGUCUCCAUGAUCUGCUAGGGUUUGGUUGGAAAGAUUCCAGUAUAUGUAACGCUGCUAUAGGGGCAUGAUCUGACCAGGUCAGGUCUAAAAUAUUAGACCUGAGAAUGUAUGGAACAUUAUGCUCACCUGUCAAAAACCUGUCAAUUCUAGAAUACAUAUUAUAAGGUGAUGAGUGGUAGGUGUAGUCCUUCUUUCCUUUAUGUUGGAUCCGCGCAAAUAAGCCCUGAGAAAAAAUUAAUUUGGAACACCAACUAGCCAAUUUUGUACUAUUAUAAUUUUUAAAAGUGUGAUCACUAUCUCUAGCAAUAUCUUGAUCACAAUCAAAUACAAAAUUCAUAUCUCCACCAAUUAUAAUCUACAUCUGAUAUCCUUGGAAACGUUUGUG